AGAUGUGAGUGCUAUCUGGCUCUGACAUCUGUCACCCCAUUGAUCGCCAGGGUUGACUUGGCUGAUCUGGCUGGCUAAGCUGGUGUCCCCUACCUCCCUCACCACUCCAUGUGUGUCACUCUCGAAAUGCUCAGUCGAAGAGGAUGGCCUUCCCCAAACAGAGAAGGACUGGUCUUCUAUGCGAGUAGCUGUGCUCCCCUGCUGGAACCUCCAAACAAGCUCUCAAGGUCCAAAAAAGAUUUUGUGCUGCUAUCCAGACUGCAUUGUUUAUAUUUAACAGUUUGGUUAUUUUUGUU
rnacentral:snRNA from 1 species